AUACGGAGGGUGCAAGCGUUACUCGGAAUCACUGGGCGUAAAGCGCGCGCAGGCGGGCUGAUAAGUUGGAUGUGAAAGCCUACGGCUCAACCGUAGAACUGCAUCCAAAACUGUCAGUCUAGAGUGUGGGAGAGGAAGAUGGAAUUAGUUGUGUAGGGGUAAAAUCCGUAGAGAUAACUAGGAAUACCAAAAGCGAAGGCAAUCUUCUGGAACACUACUGACGCUGAGGCGCGAAGGCGUGGGGAGCAAGCAGGAUUAGAAACCCUAGUAGUCC
rnacentral:rRNA from 1 species